GUCCCUGUAGCACAAUAGAUAGUGCGUUGGACUUCGAAUUCAAAAGUCGGGGGCUUGAAUCUCUCUUGGGAUG